rnacentral:rRNA from 1 species
GAUCAGUGGCGAACGGGUGAGUAACACGUGAGCAACCUGCCCCUGACUCUGGGAUAAGCGCUGGAAACGGCGUCUAAUACUGGAUAUGUGACGUGACCGCAUGGUCUGCGUUUGGAAAGAUUUUUUGGUUGGGGAUGGGCUCGCGGCCUAUCAGCUUGUUGGUGAGGUAAUGGCUCACCAAGGCGUCGACGGGUAGCCGGCCUGAGAGGGUGACCGGCCACACUGGGACUGAGACACGGCCCAGACUCCUACGGGAGGCAGCAGUGGGGAAUAUUGCACAAUGGGCGCAAGCCUGAUGCAGCAACGCCGCGUGAGGGAUGACGGCCUUCGGGUUGUAAACCUCUUUUAGCAGGGAAGAAGCGAAAGUGACGGUACCUGCAGAAAAAGCGCCGGCUAACUACGUGCCAGCAGCCGCGGUAAUACGUAGGGCGCAAGCGUUAUCCGGAAUUAUUGGGCGUAAAGAGCUCGUAGGCGGUUUGUCGCGUCUGCUGUGAAAUCCCGAGGCUCA